rnacentral:rRNA from 1 species
GCCAGUGCCCUUCCUCUGUGUCCCUGGUACUGCCUUGGACAUCUUAAUAGUGCGUGUGGGGGUCGGGCUUGGUUAGUACUUGGAUGGGAGACCACCUGGGAAUACCAGGUGCUGUAGGUU